rnacentral:rRNA from 1 species
AGACCAAGAAAUUAAGUCAUAUUUAUUACGGUAAAAAGACAGUUAAAUUAAUAAAAUUGGUAAUCUGAUUAUUUAUAAAGAAGUAAAAUUCGAAUAUAAAUAUAUAUUUCAAGAAAAACUAAAAAAUUGAAUCUGUGAUAGCUUUAAGGGAAACUGGGAUUUGAUACCCCAUUAUUUUUAGUCGUAAAUAAAUCAAAUUUAACGUAUUUACCAGAGUACUACGAAUCCAAAAAUUUAAAACUCAAAGAGCUUGGCGGUGCUUUAGACCACUUAGGGGAACCUGUCUCGUAAUCGACAAUCCACGCUAAACCUUACCUUUUUUUGCAGUCAGUUUGUAUACCGUCGUCGUCAGGUGACUCUUAAAGAAAUUGAAGUCAGCUAGAUAAUCGUUAAUUAAAACGUCAGAUCAGGGUGCAACUUAUAAAGGGGAGAAGAUGGGUUACAAUUAGAAAUUCCUAAUUACGAAAGAUUAUUUGAAUAAAUAUUUAAGAAGGAGGACUUAAAAGUAAUUUUGAUUAUAUAAAAGCUUUGAAUUAGGCUCUGAAGCGUG